UACGUAGGGCGCAAGCGUUAUCCGGAAUUAUUGGGCGUAAAGAGCUCGUAGGUGGUUUGUCGCGUUGUUCGUGAAAACUCACAGCUUAACUGUGGGCGUGCGGGCGAUACGGGCAGACUUGAGUACUGCAGGGGAGACUGGAAUUCCUGGUGUAGCGGUGGAAUGCGCAGAUAUCAGGAGGAACACCGGUGGCGAAGGCGGGUCUCUGGGCAGUAACUGACGCUGAGGAGCGAAAGCGUGGGGGAGCGAACAGG
rnacentral:rRNA from 1 species